AUUGAACGCUGGCGGCAGGCCUAGCACAUGCCAGUCGAGCGGAUGAAGGGAGCUUGCUCCUGGAUUCAGCGGCGGACGGGUGAGUAAUGCCUAGGAAUCUGCCUGGUAGUGGGGGAUAACGUCCGGAAACGAGCGCUAAUACCGCAUACGUCCUGAGGGAGAAAGUGGGGGAUCUUCGGACCUCACGCUAUCAGAUGAGCCUAGGUCGGAUUAGCUAGUUGGUGGGGUAAAGGCCUACCAAGGCGACGAUCCGUAACUGGUCUGAGAGGAUGAUCAGUCACACUGGAACUGGGACACGGUCCAGACUCCUACGGGAGGCAGCAGUGGGGAAUAUUGGACAAUGGGCGAAAGCCUGAUCCAGCCAUGCCGCGUGUGUGAAGAAGGUCUUCGGAUUGUAAAGCACUUUAAGUUGGGAGGAAGGGCAGUAAGUUAAUACCUUGCUGUUUUGACGUUACCAACAGAAUAAGCACCGGCUAACUUCGUG
rnacentral:rRNA from 1 species